ACCCUUUCUCCCCUCCUAACCAUGCAGUCGAGCGGUAUAUACUUGCUUGCUCCUCUUGCCCCCGACCCCACGGGUGAGUAAUACCUAGUAAUCUGCCUGGUAGUGGGGGACAGGUUCGGAAACGGACGCUAAUACCGCAUACGUCCUACCGUAGAAAGCAGGAGACCUUCGGGCCUUGCGCUAUCAGAUGAGCCUAUGUCGGAGUAGCUAGUUGGUGAGGUAAUGGCUCACCUAGGCUACAAUCCGUAACUGGUCUGAGAGGAUGAUCACUCACCCUGGAACUGAGACACGGUCCACACCCCCACCCGAGGCAUCAGUGGGGAAUAUUGUACAAUGGGCGAAAGCCUGAUCCAUCCAUGCCGCGUGUGUGAAGAAAGUCUUCUGAUUGUAUAGCACUUUUUGUUGGGAGGAAGGGCAUUAACCUAAUACGUUAGUGCUUUGACGUUACCGACAGAAUAACCACCCGCUAACUCUGUGCCAGCAGCCGCGGUAAUACAGAGGGUGCAAGCGUUAAUCGCAAUUACUGGGCGUAAAGCGCGCGUAUGUGGUUUGUUAAGUUGAAUGUGAAAUCCCCGGGCUCAUUCUGGGAACUGCAUCCAAAACUGUGAGCUAGACUAUGGUAGAGGGUGGUGGAAUUUCCUGUGUAGCAGAGAAAUGCGUAGAUCUAUGAAGGAACACCCGUGGCGAAGGCGACUACCUGUACUGAUACUGACACUGCGGUGCUCAAGCGUGGAGAGGAAACAGGAUUACAUACCCUGGUAGUCCACACCGUAAUAGAUGUCCACUAUUCGCCGGGAGUCUGAAUUCUUAGUGGCGCCCCUAACGCAUUAUCUUGAUCGCCUGGGGAGUAAUGCCCGCAAGGAUAUACUCGAAUGAAUUGACGGCGGGCCGCAACACCGGUGGAGCUUGUGGUUUUAUUCAAUAGAACGUGAGAACCUUACCACGCCUGACCUCCACCGAAAUUUCUACAUAAAUAUUGGUGGCCUUUCUGAACAUGAAUACAGGGGUGGCUGGCUGUCGUCAACUCUGUCGGUGGAAUGUGGGGUUUAGUCACUCCAACAGAGCAAU
rnacentral:rRNA from 1 species